CACCAUCCCAUCUGUUUGGUCUUCUUGGGCAUGCGUGUGAGGGGUGGAUCGAGGCAGGAGAGGUGAUAGUAAUGCCCGCAUGUGUCACACUCAAUCAACAAGUGCUGUUCCUUGGUCAACUGACACACCCGACAUCUAUUCAAGUGUGCAGCUUGCAGUGCGCAUAGUACGGGUCUGCUUGGUCUGCCUCUCCGUGGUUCACCUCAGACAGCAAACCUUCUCGCUGGGCACUGGAAGAAGCAAGAGGAUCUCAGUUAACCUACUGUCUAACACCACAAUGAGACCACCACAACUUCUUCAUACAACACUUGCAAAACACAAGAGCGAUCCUCACCAAGUGACAUGGAAGUAGCCUCUGCACAUGCCAGCAUCACAGCCAAUACAAACACCAGUGCGGGAGUAUCGCUCGUCCUCACACAGGGUGCAGGUCUUGGCUCCCCACUUGCUGUAUGGCAUCUCAAACAAGGUGGGGAAGGAGAGCUUGUCAACCUGAUGGCAAAGGCAAGACAUUACUCAUACAAAUGCAGUUACCUCGCUGAAUGCAACACCUGGAAUGUAUAAGGCACAAACCAAAUGGACCCAUCUUCCCAUUUCUGUUUCUUUAAAAAUUGUAUAGCCUGAAAAUAAAAUCCAAC